ACUCACAUAAGCAAGAGUGGGGUUAGGCCAAUUCUUGCAUAAAAACGGUCGAUUUUUUCUACUCUUUCAUCAAAGAAAAAACGAAGUCAGUAAAAGCAUAAACAAAAUCAGUUAUGGUGAUUUCUUGAAACCUGAAUCCAAACCAGCUGAAGGCUAUUUGUUUUUGGACUCUUUUGCCAGCGGUUAUGAGGUAAGAUCCCUUAGGUCAAGAAUGGAGCAAUUGACUUAAGAAUUCGAUUUCCCCAGCAAAGCUUCCUUCUUCUCCACUACCAAUCAACAACGGCCGAUGAUUACUUCUUUGAAAGUGCUGAGAAGAUUUCCUAUUUCUUUGAAGCUUGAUACCUAAUAUCUUGGAGUCCAAACCCCGUUGGCCACGAUACGCGAAUCUUGUAUGAUAUUCGAGUAUUUGAAACGAGAAGCUUAAUUUCAACUAGAAAAAGCUUUUGGUAGUGAUGGGAGUUUGAAGCAACCGAAGCAACUUUCAAUAAAUAAAGGCCAAUAGUCAUUCAAGCAACCCGGAAUUGGUAGUGAAGUAGUUCCGCAUCAAGACAAUUCAUUCCUAUACACUGAACCACCAACUUGCACCGGGCUGUGGCUCGCUCUAGAAGAUGCAACAGUCACCAAUGGCUGCCUCUGCACCAUUCCCGGCUCCCAUAGAGAUUCAUUAGGGACAAGACGGUGUUCACUUUGAUAAACCUUCACCAUCGUACGACCAGAGAGAUUUCGUUCCUAUCGAAGUAAAAGCUGGUGCAUUGGUCGUCAUUCAUGGGGACCUUAUUCACCAGAGUUUCGAGAACAAGUCUUCAACGUCUGGACAUGCAUUCAGCCUCCGCGUGGUGGAUACUGAUGGGUGUAAAUGGGUCGAUGACAACUGUGAAAAAUACAAAAAGAGAAUACAGUGAUCCAAAAUAUAGACAUGAUGCUGGACACAAGGGAGCAUGUCAAAGAAAGAUGACAGAUUUCAAAUUUGGUGAAAAUGAAAAACAAAAGCAGUGCUGCAAGAAAAAGGACAAGUCUUUAAGGUGGUGUCAUGCUUUUUGUCUAGGUGAGACAUGGCAGCACAACUUACCACCAAAUCACUAUAACUACUAGUACAUCCAUAUUCCCAUUUUCCCUUUUACAAAGAGUUAUGUGCGUUUUGUUUAUGGCACAUUUGAAGUGAGAGAAUUCACAGAAAUUCUAGUUUUCUUAAAAAUGUAUUGUAGUUUAUUGUUAAGGGUUAAUUGUUUAUAAAAUUAUAAAA